rnacentral:tRNA from 1 species
AUUUAUAUAGUUUAAUAAAACAUUACAUUUUCAUUGUAAAAAUAAAAAAUUUUUUUUUAUAAAUU